AUUAUAUUAAUUAUGGUUAUUUAAUAUAUUCAUUUAUAGUUUUCAGCUACGGGAGAGUUUGUCAAAUUUAGAAAAACAGACAAUAUGAGCAAUGAUUUUGUUAAGGUUUUGAAGGAAGUUGGAAUGGCGUAUGUUGUUGGUCAGGCGGGCAGGCGUCAAACUUUGUUUUCUAUCAAAUAUUAAGAAAGAACAGCCAUACCUCAUUUUGUGUUCCUCUACAUGGAAAUGUGUGUUACCAACUGGAAAUGAGCUGAAAUAUUCAAAGGUAGCACUUCACAUCAUAAAUUAAUGAAAUAUUUUUUCUUAUAAUGGUCCCCUUCAAAGAAGAG